CGGACGACCGAAAAGCGUUUUAAACGAAAUUGAUAAAAAAAAAAAAAAAAAAAACAACAACGAAAUGAGAAAAAGGUCCGCGCGUUCUCUCAGAGCGCUCGUUCAGAAAAAAAAAAAAAAAAAAACCCGGGUUUUGUUUUUUUUUUUUUUUUUUUUUUUUUUUUUUCUUAAUUAUCUCCGCGUGUCGCCAGCGGUUCUGUCGUCAACGGUAAAAUCCGU